rnacentral:rRNA from 1 species
UGGUGGGGUGACUUGUCUGCUUAAUUGCGAUAACGAACGAGACCUUAACCUGCUAAAUAGCCCGCAUUGCUCCGGCAGAGCGCUGGCUUCUUAGAGGGACUUUCGGCUCAAGCCGAAGGAAGUUUGAGGCAAUAACA